CUCAAUAAAUUCUGAUAUGAACCGAAUGAGUGUCAGUGUUUACAUCAAUAGUUUACAAGAAAUGCCUCCUGCUCAACAUAGUGCUGUAAUUGUUGAUGAUAUGGUUCCUUAUAGCGCUAGCUCCCACUUGGGGUUAUCCGUUGCAGAACCCUUUUGAAUAUCUCUAUCCCUUAGCAUAUCCUGCUUCAGGAGUUUAUACCGAGUUGAAUUAUGAGCCUCGAAUUCUUCCCUACAAUCCCUACAUGCCCGGUUACAUUAACGAAUACGUCCAGGAUUAUGGAAACAACAGAGAUUCGAAUAUCCAGCCCAGACCCGAGCAGCCUACAUUGAAUAUUAUGGCAGAAUUACCGUAUUCCAUAUCUAAACAAUUUUCGGUCGUUCCCUUAUUCAUCGUACCAAAAGACAACAUGAACAUGAUAUCGAAUGGUCAGAUCACUUCCAUAUCCCAAAAUCAACCCUUAAUGACCAUCAAAUUAAAUGAGAACCAAUCGAUCCAGUGCACUCCAGCUGUAAGAAUGGUUCUGGAAAAACCCAUCAUAGUAGGGCGAACGGAGAGUGAAGUGCUUUUCCCAUCUGAAGUGCAAAUUCUCCACGAGGGAGUGAGAAUACCGAUCAAGAUUGGAGCGGUUAUCGCUCCAGUUUUGCCGCAAACUGCAGUUGCGCAAAAUUCUCCUAUUUCAGUUCGGGUGGUCUAUGCUGUUCCAACAAGACCAAUCAAAAUCACCAUAACCAUUGAGCAAGAAAGUGCCAAACCAGACGAUACCAACAAUUCGGAUGCAGUUGUGGUGGAAAAUGAGGCUGAUCUUCCGCCAAAAAAUAUCACCAUUACAGACUUUCCUUCUGAAGUUGCACAACCGUCGAUACAAGUGGACGAGGAAGAUGAAGAGCUUGUUAAUCGCAACCCACCAAGUUUGCCUCUUGCACCCGCGGGUAUAGUACAAUCCACUCAACCUCAGAUUCACAACAAACCCUUCCACAACGACAAAGAUUCGCCAUACUUGGACACUUUGAAGUUGAAAAAGCAUCAAUAAAAUGGUGUACUGUAAUUUAUAUAGUAUUUUUGAUAAUAAAACUGAUUUAACGUA